rnacentral:tRNA from 1 species
AAGAAAGUCAUACUGGGUAUGAGGUUGGCUUGAAACCGAUUUUGGGAGGUUCGAUUCCUUCCUUUCUUG